rnacentral:lncRNA from 8 species
AAUGACAGCCCCUGCAGUCCUGUUGGCAUCACUUUAGCCUUUGCCAUAUACCAGUUCCCUGUCACUGCCUGUGGCACCACUCUAAAGGUGAGUAGAGAUAAUAUAAAUGUUAUACACUGGCUCAGUAUUAACUGUGGACUCUCCCCUGCAGGAAGAAAGUGGCUAUGUGGUUUAUGAGAACAGGAUGGCAUCUUCCUAUAACGUGGGGAUGGGACCUCGAGGCUCUAUCACCAGGGACAGCCAUUUUGAAUACCUUGUAACUGGAGAUUCCUUCAAAACGAUUGCCUACAGUUAUCGUGUUGGGCACGGUUGGGUGACAAGGGCCAUCUGGGACUGCCUUGUGAGGGAAAUCAGGCAUGUGUUAAGGCUACCUGUGUCCUGCAUAACUUCCUUAGGAUGGACAGGAGGACCAGGAGGGGACCUGCAGCUCUCCGCCGUGUGCCAGAGGAGAUGUCUGCUGCUCUGCAGGAUGCGGUUAGGAUGGGGACCAACAACGCAGCACGGUAGGCAAUCUGUGUGCGAAGAGGGUGCUGUUUUCUGGCAACACCAUAGACUACACUUGGCUCAUCGCACUCUAGCGACUCCUUGUGGCGGGCCGGGUGCCUGCAGGCUGACUUCGGUCGUCAGUUGAACAGUGUUUCCUCCGACACUCGGUGCGGAGGAUGCAUGACUCGACCUUCGCCUCUCUCGAGCCCAUUGGGGAGUUGCAUUGAUGAGACAAGAUUGGAUAUCACAAAAUUGGGGAUUUUUUUUAUCCAUGGUUAGUUUUGCAUUUCAUCUCCUGAUGAUUAUGAAGACUGAUGGGUUUUAGAAUAAAAAAAACCCACAAGACUUAAUCAUGCUCUCUCUCUCUCCAUCUGUCUCUCGUUUGCAGUUAUAUUUUUAUGUGAGAGAAGAUGCCAACCCCCAGUCCCAUCAUCGCCACCUCACCCACUCUUAAGAUAAACUUGGGGCCAACUGGGGGUCCAAGGCUGGUUAGGAGACACCUCUAGAGACACUGUUAUGUAAUUGGGAUGACCUGAGAGACUAUGCUGUCUUCCCUGCUCGUCUGUUCUUAUCUCUUUCCCUUUCUGUUUUUUUACACUCUUUCUCACACCUCUCUCGCCACCUCCUCUGUUUUUAUAAUGCACACCAGAUGUGCAUUGAAGUACAGAUUGAACUUGUACUUAUAAUAUUACAAUUCUAAUAUUUAUAAUGCAUGUAGAAUGUAGUUAUAACACUUGGAUAAUGAACUUCUUUCAAUAAAGCUUUUCACAUUCUCUACUGGUUGAUAUUAUGUCUCUCAUUUGAUGAAAUACUACACCUAGCCUGUGUCCUCCGAUCAGUGCAGAUGAAGGAAAUUAGAUAUUGAGAUAAACCUCAGAGUACUUACACGAUGCAUAGGAAGUGUGGUGUACUAUUUUUUAAAGUUCUGUUUCUGUAUAUAUGAAUGACAAAUCAGCCUUUAACUAGUUAAAUCAUGUGUCGUAGUCUAUUGCAUAGUUACAAUGUGUAACUACUGAUAUCCCAGGACCAGGAUUGGUAAACACUGUCGAAGAGUAUAAUUGUAAUACAUACAUGCAGACACAGCAUCAUUCAAAGACUGGAGUUUGAUACUCCUGGUAUUGGAUAUGACUGAAAAAGAAUGUCUCACAGACAUUCAUACCUGAACCGCACCUUUAUUUGCCAAGGUAGAAUAUAUUCAAUGUACAGGCUACAAUGUGGAGGAACUCAUGCUUGGUAACAUGUUUUUAAUUUAACCUUUAUUUAACUAGACAAGUCAGUUAUGAACAAAUUCUUAUUUACAAUGACGGCCUACACUGGCCAAACGCAGACGACAAUUGUGCACCACCCUAUGGGACUCCCAAUCACAGCCAGUUAUGAUACAGCCUGGAUUCGAACCAGGGUGUCUGUAGUGAAGAUGCAGUGCCUUAGACUGCUGCGCCACUCGGGAGCCCUGACAGAAAGUUAUAUUAUAUUCCACUCAACCCAUAGGCUUCACUGAUGCUAUUCAGACUGUUUUGAAGUCAAUACAACCGGCUAGGAUAGCUGAGGUUCAUAGCUAGGUUCAUACACUACAUGACCAUAAGUAUAUGGACACCUGCUCGGCGAACAUCUCAUUCCAAAAUCAUGGGCAUAAAUAUGGAGUUAGUCCCCCCCUUUGCUGCUAUAACAGCCUUCAUUCUUCUGGGAAGGCUUUCUACUAGAUGUUGGAACAUUGCUGCGGGGACUUGCUUCCAUUCAGCCACAAGAGCAUUAGUGAGGUCGGGCACUGAUGUUGGGCUAUUAGGCCUGGCUCGCUGUCGGCGUUCCAAUUCAUCCCAAAGGUGUUUGAUAGGGUUGAGGUCAAGACUCUGUGCAGGCCAGUCAAGUUCUUCCACACGGAUCUUGACAAACCAUUUCUGUACGGACCUCACUAUGUGCACGGGGGCAUUGUCAUGCUGAAACAGGAAGGGGCCUUCCCCAAACUGUUGCCAAAAAGUUGGAAGCACAGAAUCGUCUAGAAUGUCAUUGUUUGCUGUAGCGUUAAGAUUUCCCUUCAGUGGAACUAAAGGGCCUAGGCCGAAUCAUGAAACAUCCCCCAGACCAUUAUUCCUCUUCCACCAAACUUUACAGUUGGCACUAUGCAUUGGGGCAGGUAGCGCUCUCCUGUCAUCCACCAAACCCAGAUUCGUCCUUCGGACUGCCAGACGGUGAAGCGUGAUUCAUUACUCGGAACACGCUUCUACUGCUCUAGAGUCCAAUGGCGGCGAGCUUUUCACCACUCCGGCCAAUGCUUGGCAUUUCGCAUGGUGAUCUUACGCUUGGGUGCGGCGCUUGGCCAUGGAAACCCAUUUCAUGAAGCUCUGAACUAACAGUUCUUGUGCUGAUGUUGCUUCCAGAGGCCGUUUGGAACUCGGUAGUGAGUGUUAAAACCGAGGACAGACGAUUUCUACGCGCUACGCCCUUCAGCACUAAGCAGACCCAUUCUGUAAGCUUGUGUGGCCUACCACUUCGCGGCUGAGCCAUUGUUGCUCCUAGACAUUUCCACUUCACAAUAACAGCACUUACAGUUAACCGGGGCAGCUCUAGCAGGGCAGAAAUUUGACGAACUGACUUGUUGGAAAGUGACAUCCUAUGACAGUGCCACGUUGAAAGUCACUGAGCUCUUCAGUAAGGCCAAAGGCCAUUCUAUUGCCAAUGUUUGUCUAUGGAGAUUGCAUGGCUCUGUGGUCGAUUUUAUACAACUGUCAGCAAUGGGUGUGGCUGAAAUAGCCAAAUCCACUAACUUGAAAGGUUGUCCACAUACUUUUGUAUAUAUAGUUAGGCUAGCUAGCUAAUAUUGACAUUAUAAUAUUGACAUGUAACAGCAAUUUUCUGCAAUUUCUUGGGGAUCAAUGAUUAACUGUGGGAAGCAAUUAAAACCACUGUCCAUGCACAGAUCGGCUACAUAACUAGCUACACAUCCAUAGGUAUACAGGUAUUUUUAUCCUCCAUUAUACAAUAAGCAAGAAAAUAUUUAGCUAUCUAUGUUACUUCAGCUACAUUGCAUGGCAAAUAUCAGCAAGGCAAGCUUACAAAAUUGUACAUUAAAUUUGCAUUAAAUGCUUUAGCUAGAUUAUUUAUAUCCACUGUUUCACAAGACGACAGCCUGGUUUGCUGGUUUUCUCAGGAGUCCCUAAAACAUUAAGCAACAUGAAUUCCAAUUUCAUACUCAUAUCACAACACCCAUAAAGAUAGCUAGCUACUGUAGCUGGCUAAUGUUAGCUAGUCAGCCAGCUUGCUAAAUUGUGCUUUUUGUAAAUGAACUUCAUGACAAAAAAAUAUGUAUAAUUGUUUGUUUCUACAUUAGCUAACUUAUUCCUAUCAACAUUUUUCGCAUGAUUCAUUAUGAUGUUAUAAUUACUUACAUUUGCUUCCAUCCUAGUAUUCUUGUCAGCCAUCUUUGCUGAAGUGUUGGGUCACAAAUUAUUUGUAUAAAGUUGGGAAAUGCUGAACUUUUUCACCACCUCCC